GUCUAAGUCAAAAUGUAUAGUUGGCUACAUAGAUUUUGGUAUUUUUAGAAAGUAUCUGGCAACACUGAAGGUAAUAUAUCAUUUUGUGCAAUAUUUCAUUGAAAGGAAUCAUUUGACUUGUAAAAGUUACAACGUUUUUGUGAGUGUUUUCUGGCAAAUAUUUCUUCUGAUGUGAUUAAGUUCCUGGCUUACAUCAUUUGUAUACUCAAUCAUCAGUUUACUUACAUCAUUAUCAACAUCUUCUCAGCAGUAGCCACAUCAUUCUCUUCAUUAUGAUACUGUGCUGGCAAACGUAAUCAAGAGUUGCUGCAUUUUAACACAAGUACCGAUUUCAGCAGCGAUUGAAAGCCAAAAUACAAUCCAAUUUCCACAAAACACAAAAUCAGCGAAACUUAAAUGGCAUUUCAAAAGACAACAACUACAAAUAUAUACAAGGGAGAUGUGUGGCCUUUUACCAGAAUAGUGUAUAAAUAUCAUUGCGUAUCAAAAAUGUUCUCCUAUAGCAAUAACCAAAUUCAGUUUCUUUAAAGAUUUUUAGAAUAUAAUAUGUUGAUAAAGUUUUUUUAUGUUUUUCUUUGUUCAAUUUAUUUGUGUUUUGAAAUUUCUAUCAAUAGAAAUGACCCAAAAUUUAAGAAGGUGGGUUUGUGAAACAUAUCCCCUAAUUUGCGUAAAUGGGAGACUUAAUGUUUAAAUGAUUAUCCUUAUUAUAUAUUUUUAUUUGUAAUGUAAAAAUCAAAAGUUAUGAAAUGCAAAUAUUAAAUUUAUUGUUUAUUUAUUCAAAAUAAUAAAGAUAUUGUUUAAACAUUAUUUUAUUAAUA